GAUGAACGCUAGCUACAGGCUUAACACAUGCAAGUCGAGGGGCAGCAUGAACUUAGCUUGCUAAGUUUGAUGGCGACCGGCGCACGGGUGAGUAACACGUAUCCAACCUGCCGAUGACUCGGGGAUAGCCUUUCGAAAGAAAGAUUAAUACCCGAUGGCAUAGUUCUUCCGCAUGGUGGAACUAUUAAAGAAUUUCGGUCAUCGAUGGGGAUGCGUUCCAUUAGUUUGUUGGCGGGUAACGGCCCACCAAGACUACGAUGGAUAGGGGUUCUGAGAGGAAGGUCCCCCACAUUGGAACUGAGACACGGUCCAAACUCCUACGGGAGCAGCAGUGAGGAAUAUUGGUCAAUGGGCGAGAGCCUGAACCAGCCAAGUAGCGUGAAGGAUGAAGGUCCUACGGAUUGUAAAC
rnacentral:rRNA from 1 species